CCCCUUUCCCCCCCCCUUAUAAAUAGCGCGCCCCCCGCGCGCGCCCCCUCAGAUCCUCCGCGCCCCCCGCGCCGUGAGGAGCCGCCGGCGCCGCCAUUAUGGGGAGGAAGUCGGGCCGGGCCAAGGAGAAGAAGCAGCGGCGGCUGGAGGAGCGCGCGGCCAUGGCAGCCGUGUGUGCCAAGGUGGAGGCGGCCAACAAGCUCCGGGAUCCCCUCGAGGCCUUCCCGGUGUUCAAAAAGUACGACAGGAACGGGCUGGACGUGUCCAUCGAGUGCUGCCGGGUGUCCGUUCUGGAGCCGCCCACGCUGGACUGGGCCUUUGAGCUGACCAAGGCCAACAUGCAGAGCCUGUACGAGCAGAGCGAGUGGGGCUGGAAGGAGCGCGAGAAGCGGGCGGAGCUGCGGGACGAGCGCUCCUGGUUCCUGCUGGCCCGCGAGGCGGCGGCGGCGCGGCCGGUGGCGUUCUGCAGCUUCCGCUUCGACGUGGAGUGCGGGGACGAGGUGCUCUACUGUUACGAGGUGCAGCUGGAGAGCCGCGUGCGGCGCCGGGGGCUGGGCAAGUUCCUGCUGCAGAUCCUGCAGCUCGUGGCCAACAGCACGCAGAUGAAGAAGGUGAUGCUGACGGUGUUCAAGCACAACCACGGAGCGCUGCAGUUCUUCAGGGACGCCCUGCAUGACUCGGGGAGGUGACACAGAGGUGACCGCAGUGACACAGCGGUGACCGCAGUGACACAGAGGUGACACAGGAGGUGACACAGAGGUGACAGCAGUGGCAGUGCCAGCCCUGGCGGUGGGCGGGGGCUCAGACCCAGGUUCGAGGUCGACGCCUCCUCCCCGAGCGUCUCCGGCUGCUGCGGGGACGAUUCCUCCUACGAGAUCCUGAGCAGGAGCACCCGCUUUGGGGAGCCCCAUCCCGGAGGGGGGCCCUGCGCUGGCUGCUGCCAUUG